GCUCAGAUUGAACGCUGGCGGCAGGCCUAACACAUGCAAGUCGAACGGUAACAGGAAGCAGCUUGCUGCUUUGCUGACGAGUGGCGGACGGGUGAGUAAUGUCUGGGAAACUGCCCGAUGGAGGGGGAUAACUACUGGAAACGGUAGCUAAUACCGCAUAACGUCGCAAGACCAAAGAGGGGGACCUUCGGGCCUCUUGCCAUCGGAUGUGCCCAGAUGGGAUUAGCUAGUAGGUGGGGUAACGGCUCACCUAGGCGACGAUCCCUAGCUGGUCUGAGAGGAUGACCAGCCACACUGGAACUGAGACACGGUCCAGACUCCUACGGGAGGCAGCAGUGGGGAAUAUUGCACAAUGGGCGCAAGCCUGAUGCAGCCAUGCCGCGUGUAUGAAGAAGGCCUUCGGGUUGUAAAGUACUUUCAGCGGGGAGGAAGGGAGUAAAGUUAAUACCUUUGCUCAUUGACGUUACCCGCAGAAGAAGCACCGGCUAACUCCGUGCCAGCAGCCGCGGUAAUACGGAGGGUGCAAGCGUUAAUCGGAAUUACUGGGCGUAAAGCGCACGCAGGCGGUUUGUUAAGUCAGAUGUGAAAUCCCCGGGCUCAACCUGGGAACUGCAUCUGAUACUGGCAAGCUUGAGUCUCGUAGAGGGGGGUAGAAUUCCAGGUGUAGCGGUGAAAUGCGUAGAGAUCUGGAGGAAUACCGGUGGCGAAGGCGGCCCCCUGGACGAAGACUGACGCUCAGGUGCGAAAGCGUUGGGAGCAAACAGGAUUAGAUACCCUGGUAGUCCACGCCGUAAACGAUGUCGACUUGGAGGUUGUGCCCUUGAGGCGUGGCUUCCGGAGCUAACGCGUUAAGUCGACCGCCUGGGGAGUACGGCCGCAAGGUUAAAACUCAAAUGAAUUGACGGGGGCCCGCACAAGCGGUGGAGCAUGUGGUUUAAUUCGAUGCAACGCGAAGAACCUUACCUGGUCUUGACAUCCACGGAAGUUUUCAGAGAUGAGAAUGUGCCUUCGGGAACCGUGAGACAGGUGCUGCAUGGCUGUCGUCAGCUCGUGUUGUGAAAUGUUGGGUUAAGUCCCGCAACGAGCGCAACCCUUAUCCUUUGUUGCCAGCGGUCCGGCCGGGAACUCAAAGGAGACUGCCAGUGAUAAACUGGAGGAAGGUGGGGAUGACGUCAAGUCAUCAUGGCCCUUACGACCAGGGCUACACACGUGCUACAAUGGCGCAUACAAAGAGAAGCGACCUCGCGAGAGCAAGCGGACCUCAUAAAGUGCGUCGUAGUCCGGAUUGGAGUCUGCAACUCGACUCCAUGAAGUCGGAAUCGCUAGUAAUCGUGGAUCAGAAUGCCACGGUGAAUACGUUCCCGGGCCUUGUACACACCGCCCGUCACACCAUGGGAGUGGGUUGCAAAAGAAGUAGGUAGCCUAACCUUCGGGAGGGCGCUUACCACUUUGUGAU
rnacentral:rRNA from 1 species